GAUUAGCUUGUUGGCGGGGUAACGGCCCACCAAGGCAACGAUCAGUAGGGGUUCUGAGAGGAAGGUCCCCCACAUUGGAACUGAGACACGGUCCAAACUCCUACGGGAGGCAGCAGUGAGGAAUAUUGGUCAAUGGGCGAGAGCCUGAACCAGCCAAGUAGCGUGCAGGAAGACGGCCCUAUGGGUUGUAAACUGCUUUUAUAAGGGAAUAAAGUUAGUCUCGUGAGACUUUUUGCAUGUACCUUAUGAAUAAGGACCGGCUAAUUCCGUGCCAGCAGCCGCGGUAAUACGGAAGGUCCGGGCGUUAUCCGGAUUUAUUGGGUUUAAAGCGAGCGUAGGCCGGAGAUUAAGCGUGUUGUGAAAUGUAGACGCUCGACGUCUGCACUGCAGCGCGAACUGGUUUCCUUGAGUACGCACAAAGUGGCGGAAUUCGUGGUGUAGCGGUGAAAUGCUUAGAUAUCACGAAGAACUCCGAUUGCGAAGGCAGCUCACUGGAGCGCAACUGACGCUGAAGCUCGAAAGUGCGGGUAUCGAACAGGAUUAGAUACCCUGGUAGUCCGCACGGUAAACGAUGGAUGCCCGCUGUUGGUCUGAACAGGUCAGCGGCCAAGCGAAAGCAUUAAGCAUCCCACCUGGGGAGUACGCCGGCAACGGUGAAACUCAAAGGAAUUGACGGGGGCCCGCACAAGCGGAGGAACAUGUGGUUUAAUUCGAUGAUACGCGAGGAACCUUACCCGGGCUUGAAUUGCAGAGGAAGGAUUUGGAGACAAUGACGCCCUUCGGGGUCUCUGUGAAGGUGCUGCAUGGUUGUCGUCAGCUCGUGCCGUGAGGUGUCGGCUUAAGUGCCAUAACGAGCGCAACCCCUCUCCUUAGUUGCCAUCAGGUUAAGCUGGGCACUCUGGGGACACUGCCACCGUAAGGUGUGAGGAAGGUGGGGAUGACGUCAAAUCAGCACGGCCCUUACGUCCGGGGCUACACACGUGUUACAAUGGCAGGUACAGAGAGACGGUUGUACGUGAGUACGAUCAAAUCCUUAAAGCCUGUCUCAGUUCGGACUGGGGUCUGCAACCCGACCCCACGAAGCUGGAUUCGCUAGUAAUCGCGCAUCAGCCAUGGCGCGGUGAAUACGUUCCCGGGCCUUGUACACACCGCCCGUCAAGCCAUGAAAGCCGGGGGCGCCUAAAGUCCGUGACCGUAAGGAGCGGCCUAGGGCGAAACUGGUAAUUGGGGCUAAGUCGAAACAAGGUA
rnacentral:rRNA from 1 species